UACCAGCACCCCGAGUGGUCGGGACGAUUAUUGGGCCUAAAGCAUCCGUAGCCUGUUCUGCAAGUCCUCCGUUAAAUCCACCUGCUUAACGGAUGGGCUGCGGGGGAUACCGCAGAGCUAGGAGGCGGGAGAGGCAAACGGUACUCAGUGGGUAGGGGUAAAAUCCAUUGAUCUACUGAAGACCACCAGUGGCGAAGGCGGUUUGGCAGAGCGCGCUCGACGGUGAGGGAUGAAAGCUGGGGGAGCAAACCGG
rnacentral:rRNA from 1 species